UUAAAGGAUUCCCCUAGUACGGCGAGUGAGCGGGAAGAGCUCAAAUUUGAAAUCUGGUAGCCUUCGGUUGCCCGAGUUGUAAUCUAGAGAAGUGUUUUCCGUGCCGGCCCAUGUACAAGUCCCUUGGAACAGGGCGUCAUAGAGGGUGAGAAUCCCGUCCUUGACAUGGACCCCCGGUGCUUUGUGAUACACUUUCAACGAGUCGAGUUGUUUGGGAAUGCAGCUCAAAAUGGGUGGUGAAUUCCAUCUAAAGCUAAAUAUUGGCGAGAGACCGAUAGCGAACAAGUACCGUGAGGGAAAGAUGAAAAGCACUUUGGAAAGAGAGUUAAACAGUACGUGAAAUUGUUGAAAGGGAAACGAUUGAAGUCAGUCAUGCUCUUGGGACUUACCUCCCUUGAGUGGGGUCAACAUCAGUUUUGAUCGAUGGAUAAAGGCACUAGGAAGGUAGCACUCUCGGGUGAACUUAUAGCCUAGCGUCAUAUACAUUGAUUGGGACUGAGGAACGCAGCAUGCCUUUUGGCCGGGAUUCGUCCACGUACAUGCUUAGGAUGUUGACAUAAUGGCUUUAAACGACCCGUCUUGAACCACGGACCA
rnacentral:rRNA from 1 species